CUUAUUCUAGAAUUUCAGAUACUCUCCCCAUUUUCUUUCAGCUCCAGCAGCGUAUGGGGAAAGUGUAGUUUGUAAGGAAGCAAAAUUGCUUGUUGCAUGUCGCAGAAUCAUAGAAUAGUUUGGAUUAGAAGGGACCUUUGUGAGAUGUUGUAGCUCCAAGUAAUCUUGGAGUAGUAAAUCAGAUCCAGAGUAAAAAGAGAAAUCAGAUUCUUCAUUGUGAGAUGUUGCAGCUCCGAUAUAAAGGGGAAAUUAGAUCCGGAGGAAAAGAGAAAUCAGACUCUUUACCUAGACGUCACUCCUAGGGUAGAAGGGUUUGCUGGGACUAAACGUGCACAUUUUAGUUGUGAAAUGAGUUUGAGCUAAGAAGAGCCUAAGCUAGAAAAGUCCAGCUGUCUUUGCACCCAAGUUAGAGUCAUUCAGACUUCUCUACCUAUGCAAUGUAUCUUUGCCGCAGCAAAAAACAAGGCUGUUUUUUCUAUUUUGCUGAGAAGAGGUUUUAUUUUUUGUGCAGGCGAAGUUUCCCUGGCUCUUCUCCAGCAGCUCGUACUGUUGAUGUGGCAGUAAAGCGUGCGACAGCCCUGCUUGUUGUGCUGCUGGCAGCAGCAUCACGAACUCAGCAUCCUCCUGGGAGCAAGCAGGACAUCAGGCUCUGCAGUGAGGAGAUAAAGCAGGGAAAUGGCUCUGAGGGCCCACUCCAACAGCUGGUACAGAGCUGACUGUCACACUUUCCCUGCAGCCAGAGAGACAAUGAUCCAAAGCAUGAAUAAACCUAAAUGCAGUGACUUCA
rnacentral:lncRNA from 1 species